AAGUCUUAAGCUCCAUGGAGACUCUUCUUUGCUGCCAGUUUGUCAUUGACCUCCAAGUUUUCAUGCUCUUGGUUUUUUUUGUUUUUUUCCUGCUUACCUUGUUUUCCCGUGCCACAGUUCACCUGGACCAUCCUCGCCACUUACCUUCAGCUUCAGCUUUUCUCAGACUACCUCUCCAUUCUGGAAAACUGCUGUUUUGGUCAUUCUUGACCAAAACGGCAAUAAACCACAGUGAAUCAGCAGCUCUGCAGUGUAUCGAGAUCCCCAGACCUCCUGGUCUCCACCCUCCUCCUCCAGUUCUGUGAAGGCGACAAUGACAGACGUAGCAUGUACUAUGUCUGUCCCAGGGUCUCUUUGAAACACCACACCUGAGAGGCAUCAAGAGGGUAUCCUGAAAAACAACCUCACAUGGCCUACCACUUUGUGCCUGAGUUGCUCUUACUCCCAAUUGCUUCCAUUUUUUCUAUAAUACCCCUAACAGUGGACAAAGGAAUAUAUAAUAGGGAAGAAAUUGGUGUCCUAUCAAAAUAGACUGAACUCCUGAGAGCGACCCAUUCUUUCAUGCUUGGUUUUAUACACCUGUGGCCAUGACAGUGAUUAGAACACCUGGUUUCAGUGAUUUGAUGAGUGACUGAAUACUUCCGGUAGUACGGUGUAUUUGUUACCUGUUAGGCAGAGAUAUCCAGAGGGAAGUCUGGUUCUCUUACACGUCAGAACAAGACAUAUUAAGGUGUGAUUCAAGAUGUAAAAUUUUGCCAUAAAACUAUGAAGCUAUUGUAGUAAAUUAACCAUAGGUAAGCAAAAUUUUAAAGGGUAAAUGAAAGAAAUAUUUGGAAAGAAACAAAGCAGAGAACAAAUGAAUGUUACAUGAAUUAACAUGAUCAAAAAUGAAGAAAAUAUGUAAAUAAAGUGUAAAUUUAAUUUCUAAAGACCUAAUGAAACUUAGACCUAAGCUAAGCAUAAAAUCAGUGCCAAAGAAAUAAAAUAUUAGAUACUGUGGUAUUAUAUUUUAUUUGCAAAUACCUCACACUUCACCAUUAUAUCACUUUAUAUAUCACAUGCACACUGAAGGUUUUGAGGUUGAUCUUCUAAUGGCAAACAGGCAAAAACCUAUGAGGUGUCAGAUGAUUCACUCUUAUUUGCUCCUACUUAAAAUGUCUAAGAUCUGACCAAAU